GACGAACGCUGGCGGCGCGCUUAACACAUGCAAGUCGAACGGAAAGGCCUGCUUUCCCUUGUGGAUUGCGGGUACUCGAGUGGCGAACGGGUGAGUAACACGUGAGUGAUCUGCCCCCAACUUGGGUAUAAGCCUGGGAAACUGGGUCUAAUUCCCGAUAGGACUGCAGGGUGGUGCCUGUUGUGGAAAACGAUUUUCUGGUGGUUGGGGAUGAGCUCGCGGCCUAUCAGCUUGUUGGUGGGGUAAUGGCCUACCAAGGCGGCGACGGGUAGCCGGCCUGAGAGGGUGGACGGCCAAAUUGGGACUGAGAUACGGCCCAGACUGCUACGGGAGGCAGCAGUGGGGAAUAUUGCACAAUGGGCGGAAGCCUGAGGCAGCGACGCCGCGUGGGGGAUGACGGCCUUCGGGUGGUAAACUCCUUUCGACCGAGAGGAAGCCACCUGGUUGGAAGGGUGGUGACGGUAGUGGUAGAAGAAGCACCGGCUAACUACGUG
rnacentral:rRNA from 1 species